GAUGAACGCUGGCGGCGUGCCUAAUACAUGCAAGUCGAGCGAACAGACGAGGAGCUUGCUCCUCUGACGUUAGCGGCGGACGGGUGAGUAACACGUGGAUAACCUACCUAUAAGACUGGGAUAACUUCGGGAAACCGGAGCUAAUACCGGAUAAUAUAUUGAACCGCAUGGUUCAAUAGUGAAAGACGGUUUUGCUGUCACUUAUAGAUGGAUCCGCGCCGCAUUAGCUAGUUGGUAAGGUAACGGCUUACCAAGGCAACGAUGCGUAGCCGACCUGAGAGGGUGAUCGGCCACACUGGAACUGAGACACGGUCCAGACACCUACGGGAGGCAGCAGUAGGGAAUCUUCCGAAAUGGGCGAAAGCCUGACGGAGCAACGCCGCGUGAGUGAUGAAGGUCUUCGGAUCGUAAAACUCUGUUAUUAGGGAAGAACAAAUGUGUAAGUAACUAUGCACGUCCUGACGGUACCUAAUCAGAAAGCCACGGCUAACUACGUG
rnacentral:rRNA from 1 species